UGAAGACACUGGGAGUUUGAAAGAUUCCACAAGGCGGUUAAUGGUGAACAUAAUUGUAGCUCACAUGCAUGAAAAAGAAGGGAGAACUGUUAGUAAAGCAACAAAGGAGUUCCAUGCCCUUGGGAUUGUGUCCCUGUUCCCAUCUUUGAAAGACCCAUACUCUAAAAAAGGAUAUGAACAUUUCUAUGACAUUCAGAGCAACAAAGGCUUUCUUGAGUGGCGUAUAAAGACCGUGCAACGUAAAUCCAGAACC